CUUGCUAAUAAAUCAAAGGCAUGCUGUCAAAUCUUUAUCUCUGGGAGGAAGUUUCUUCUUGCAAGCAAUUAGGAAUUCUCAGCUGCUCUGCAGUUCAGUGGGUUUUCUCUGUAAAUACAAGUUAGCAGAGGUGAGGUGAGGCCACAGCGUGGCUCUUUGCUUGCUGCAGUCACAGCGUCUGCUGUGCCAUGCGCAGCGCUGUAUUCUGAUCUCUCUUACGUCUAGACAGAUAUUCAUAAUGAAAUAGAUGUCUGGAUAAUGAAGUAGACUUUCACAGUCCUAAUGGGAUUGAAGCCUGCAAAGGAUGGAAAAAGAGCAACUUGCACUACACCCUCCAAGGCCCCUGGAUUUCACAGGUUUUUUGGAAUACUAGAUCGGAUUGGAAGAUACUUACAUGAUUGCCAACAGAGCCCUAGCUCUGUGGCUAAACCAGAAGGACUUCUCUAGACUAGGAGAAGAAGGUAUGGAUGUAUCGUUGGGCUCAGAGAGAGAUCCUUGACAAAGGUAGGUACUGCAAGGCUCACUCAGCAAAUUGCCAGAGAGAGACAGGAAUUGCUAAGAGCCUAGACAAAAAGACUGGGAGAGAUAGGGAGAGACAUCUUCUGGAAGCAGCAAAUAUUUGUGUUUGUGGAGCAGGAGAUUCUGCAGAAGUGAAGGGAGAGGACCUAUUCUCUUAUUCCUUUUUGUUGGUUAAACUGGGAAGUGAGAACACUGUCAUGUUCUCUGUAGUAUGUUUUGUGGCUGCCUCCUCGAGCCUGUAUCCACAUAAUCCAAAUGCAAGUGUGAACUGUGUGAAACUUGCCUCUGUAGUGAGCCUUCACAUUUUUGUAUUGAUAGCAUUUUACUGGAAAGGUGCAGUUAUAGAUGCUGUUAUGUUAACCAAAUGCAAAAAUAAUGUUUAACCUAUGGUUAGUUUUUGCAUAUAAAUAAAUGUUGUACAAUAUAUUCUAUUUAAUAAGCAAGAUUCUGCUAUCUAUAAGAUGAUGGUCUUCUCUUGGUAGGUUCUUAAAGGAUGUUUUUGUCAUUAUCAAAAAUGUUAGUCUUUCUCUGUGCCGUGCACUGGGAGGCAGCAAAAGGUGAACAGCACAGAAAAUGAACACAGUGUUCUGAAAGGUAAGGAAGGGAAAACAGUCAUCUAAUAUACUACCCUUCCAUCAGUUUGUUACCUCUGAAUUUCCCGAAUCUUAGUCUAUGGAGUUUCCUCACAUUAUUCUGGCUGUAAAUUAUUUAUAUACAUUUCCCCAUCUUUUAUUGCACUCAGUUUCUCAGCUUCCUGUGGGACAUCACUAGCUUCCAGCAAUGUGCUGAGGCACCACCUCUAGAAUCUGCCAGAAAGGAGAGGAGAUGGAGCUAACAAAGUGAGACUCUGGGAUUUGUGCUAGAAUGGAUCGUCAUAGAUGAAUAACUAACAGCAUUUUCUCUCAUUUCUGAAAAAGCUCUGUAGUUUUGUUGGCAUAAUUCAUUAACCAGCAUUUUUGCACUUCAUUAUUAAAGGUAAAUCUUUCUCCUGUUUUCAUCAAUCUCAAUGAAGAAAUCUGCCAUUCAUUCCCGUUAGAAGGCUGUUUCUCAGAGCAUCUCUGCUGGUAUUUUAUUCCAUUCAGUUUAAAAUACCCCGGAGAAGGAAUAUUUCUCUGAAGGGAUGUGGGAGUGAGGAUACAGCCCAGGCCAUCCUGUGGUCAGAUAUUAAUGAAGAUAGCUCUAUUUUCUUUGCAUCCUAUUAUCGCUGGGUCUGUACAGCUCUUAAUUCUUCUUCCUACUCUGUGUUUCACCUUUCAGACGACUACAGACAUGUAAUUACGCCAAACUUUGGCCAAAAUCAGGUUGUACAAUAUAUUUGUCAAUGAGUAGAGCCAAGUGAACCUCCAUAGGAACUGUAGCAUGCCCAAAUGCUGCAUGGAUCCCACGGUUCUCUGUGGUAUGCUUUGGCAGUGGUCAGUUAAAUGCUUCAGAGGAACUGGAGUGAUUAUAAAUCAACUUCGUCAUCAUCCAUAAGGUGGAUGGAGAACAUUUCAUAAAAGUGAAAAAAGGUUUCCAGGGAGAUCUUCUUGGAGACAGUGCAGAUGCAGCACCUACCUUUUUGCUCCAGAAAGCACUCAAAAGAAGACACGAUUGCCCUUUGGCACCUUCAGAGGCUGUUCCAGGAUGCAUCAUCCCCUAGUUCUAAGCUUCCGUGUCUCUAGAAAACUGGAUGACCCUAGAGAGGAAUUCCAAACUCUUCCCAACUCCUCCAAUUUUGAAAGGCCGUUUUCCAAGACAAAAAUUUGUUGAAAAGCGAUGUGUUUAAGAUAGGGGUGUAACUUCUAAUAAUAUGAAAAUACAGAAGAAAAAAAAGUGCUUGAAUAUGGAUUUGACCAUGGGACAUUGGAAAUGCAAAAGAAUUUUAGACUUUUUAAUGCAAAUAAGCAAGUUGCAUCAUUCCAAGUUCAUUCAGAGGCAUAUGUUGAAACAACACAAAGCAAUGUAAAUAAGCAGUCCAAAUCACUUGUCAGACGGCUUUACAACAAUGGAUGACUUUCCUUAGUGCCUUAGUGCUGCUCUAUCUGCAAGGAAUCUUCCUGGAGCACCUCUUGAGAGCUGCCACAAUAUCAAGUUAAUUCAUGUUGAUGGCCACUGCCUAUUAGUCACUACUUUGAGAAGGAACAACAGCGACAGGAUACUUGAAAAGAAAUACUGCAGCUGAUGCUUUGCAUUAUGAAAAAUGCCGACAUCUGAUCCAUUUUGAUAUCCUUGAAUAUCUGAUCUUUGGAAAAAUUACAUGUGGAGUUCAGGACAUUGGGCAUUUGCUCCCUGAGCGAUGGAGUCCAGAACCUGUUUAAGGGUCCCAGCAGCCCACCUCUAUUUCAUAGUAGACAACCCCUUGAGUGACAAAAACCUUUUAAAGGGGAAAAAUAACAUGAACAACUCCUUCUAACAUGGUUGGAAUUGAGACCACCUAAGUUUUUGCUCUAAGCUGUUCCUGUACAAUCUGUUUCCCAGUGAUUGCUCUGAGCAUCAAGAAUUGUAAGAAAGGAAGGAAGGGCCCCCCAUCUCCUUCUCAGCUUGUGCUGCUCAGCUCCACACAGAAGAGCGUAUUUCUGCAGAAAGGCAGAAGCAGAGCUGUGAGUCACAAAUGAGUCAAAAGGACAAAAGCUUAGUGGGCAAAGACUGGCAUUUUUAUUAUAUAAAAUCAGACUUUUGAGAACUGUCUUUUUAAGCUUAGCAUCCUCCACAAUUCUUAAGUGGGAUUAAGAUGUCCAAAACAAGAUCUCUUCUUCUUUUAAUUACUAUCUACUGACAUUAUUACAGAGUUUACUAUUUGUGUAUGAGUUAAGCACAAGGUGAGGAAUUAUCCUAAGCAACAAUUUUUCCUUGCUUACCAAAGCUUGCAAUGGAGAGCAGAUUGCCUAUCCCUGUAACGGAUGUACAUGUGUAAGAGAUUUUUAAAUGGCAAAUAACUAGCAGAGCCUUUAUUAUUAAUAUCAAAACAUCAUUUUUUCUUGUACUCUUUUUUCCAGAUGAGUUUUCUGUUUGAAUUCAUUGAAACUUUUUCAUGUAGUUUAUUAGAACCAGUAUAUUGUAUUAAUUUCCCUAAAAAUUCUUCACUUACAAAGCAGCUGAAUAAAUUUUAUAGUGGAAUAAGGUGUGAAGAUGAAUUACUGCCCAUGCAUGUGAACACCACUGAUCAGGAGGUGACACUUUACUGUAGUAGCUCAAUAGAGAGAUAUCAAGGAACAUAUAAGGGUUAAUUUAGCAAGAUCCCCUGAAACAGUGUAGAAAAAAAAUGUUUCAGUAGGUAAAAAUUCAGAAUGCUGUCUUUAUACAUUCAACAGUCU
ensembl:lncRNA